AGAGUGAGACCCCUUCUAUAAAAAAAUUUUUUUUAAAAUAAAAAUAAAAUAAAAAUUAAGGAAAGAAGACAAGCUUGGCUCAGAGCAAGAAACAGGUUUGAGCCUAAGCUCCGUGGCUCCUUAGCUGUGUGACUUGGGCAAACACCAUACUUUGGUGAGCCUCAGUUUCCCCAUCUUCAGGAUGAGAGAAUGAGAUGGGAUCCCCCAGAUGUUUUGGGUCCUUCUGAUUUGCAAAACCUUGUGAGACUGUGAUCAUAAGGGAGCUAGGCACCUGUGCUCUCUGAGGCCUGAACUGGGCAGCCUUAUACUAUUUCCUAAAUUUGAGCCCCAGGUUUUCAGGACCACGGACAUGGCUCUUGUAGCCUCUUCACUUAGAAGUGCUGUGCACACCCAGGGGGACCUUUGCCUGGUGAGCUCUGGGCUCUAGGUGGGGUGAGUUUGCAAGAUGCAAAGCCGUGUGCUCCGAAAUAGUGUUCUUCAGCAAGCUGUAGCGUAGACCCGGAGACUUUCCUUCGUCCACUUAUAUUUGAAUGUCAUUGUAAACUCAUAAGGAUCUUCUUAUUUAAAAAUUGGCUGAGAAGUUAAGGAUAUAGGCUUUGCAGUCAAGCAGAUUUGGGUUCAAACCCUGGCUUUGCUUGUUGUGUAACUGUAGGCAAAUUAUUUAACUUCUUUGAGCUCAAUUUUCUCAUCUAGAGAAUGAUGACAGUACCACCUCAGAGGCUAUUGUGAGGUUUAGCUAUUAUACACACAGUGGAGGCUUUAGCCCCUGGAGCAUGCUAAGUGCUCAGUAAACAUUAGGUGGGCGUCAGUAAAAUUGUGUUCCCCAAGGACCAGAGACAAGGUGAGAAUCUGCAGUUGGGUGGGUGAGGUUUGCUGGGGCCUGGGAAGGUGGAAUCAGACUCAGGAGUCAUUCGCUCCAUUUCGGGUGUAAGAGCGGUUGAUUAAGAUGACAAAUGCAAAUAUUAAAAUAUUUUGUUAGAGUGUAUGAGAGAAAGUUUUGAUCACAGCUAUAUACUAUUUCCUGAGAACCAUUUGUGUGUUAUUAAUUCUGGAUCACAUUUUUUAAGCAAAAAAUGAAACAUCAUUUUUUUUCUCUUUAAUUUGUGUCUGUGCCUAUCUCCUUGCCUCUCCCUUCCCUUCUUCUUGCUACUGGCAUAAGCUGCCUUGGGAGGGGAGAAGCGGUUUCCAGGGCAGUGGCUACUCCUGGUCCCCUUGUGCAAAUUAAAUCUGCUAACCCUUGGUAGGAACCUUCUAUGGCCAGCGCCUUUGCUAAGAGCUGGGGAAGCAAAGAUUCAUAAGAAUCAGUCCUAUUCUUAAAGGGUUUACUGUCUAUUGGGUGGGACUAGAAAACAGCUCACCGCGAUAGAAGGCAGAAUGUGAGCUGGCGGGUGGUUGUGACAAAUUCUCAAAGAAGCCAGCAGGUAAGCCUUUCCAGAGGAGGCCUGUGAGCCGGGCCUGGGAGGAAAGGCUGAGAUGUUGAUUUCGGGCUGGGGACGGGGCAAGACCCACAGCACGAAGAUGCUGAGAGUAGAGGGGUCUGCCCUACUCGAUGGGGAGUCGCCCUCGGAGAUUAGACUUAUCUUGUCUGUGAAUGGCCUCAAACAGGGGGGAAAGGUUUCCCAGACGUCCUACCUAUACAGGUUUCCGGGGGAGCUUGCUUUAAAAGCAUAGAUUCUCAGGCCCCGCACCCAUGGAUUUACAGUGUGCAUAGCACAGUUCUGCAUGAUGGCUCCAAAAAGAUAGUGAAGACCAGUUUAAGAAGAGCCUUGCACGUCAUUCGGUAUUUCGACUGGAUUUGACUUUAUCCCAGAGCAUCAGACAUAUUUUUAACUAGCUAUGUUUGUGUAGGCCUAGAAGAUGCACAUUGGAAAUGAAACUCAGGUGAGUCUAGGUCAGCGUUUCUAACGUGAGGUCCAGGACAGGUAGGGGGUCCAUGAAGACUUGAGUGAGACUCCUGAAGUGACGUUUUAUGGUGUUUUGAAAUCUCCUAUGCAAGUUGUGCAUUUAUCCUUCAUUAAGUUGUUAACUAGCUUUCUCUUUGGUCUGGAACUGUGUUAACAUGAUACGGUGACAUGGGUGAGUUCAGGCUGCGGAGUGCAAGUGGUUAAAAGCGUGGACUUUGGAGACAGAUCCGAGUUUUAGGUUCCUUCCGCUGCCUUCCAGCCGCAAGAUCUUGAGCAAGUUACUUCACCUCUGUGAUCCUGUCUUCCCAGCUGCAAAAUGGGGAUAUAUGGGAGUACCCAGAUCACAGGGUUGAGGGGAGGGUUACACAAGAGAAUCCACAUACCGCGCCUGAGCUAAAGAAAGUGUUCAAAAGUGUUAUUGAUAACUAAGAGGUCUCAUGGAAAAAAUAAUUACAUAUGGCUACACACAAUUUUAUUUGGUAGCAAAAAUAAAAAUUUAACAAAGGAGGCCUAAAGGUGAAACACUUGGAGAGCCUUCUCCAGGGACUUGUUUGGACACGGCAUCCAAAGCACAGAGCAGAGGCAGGCUGUUUCCUGGCCUCCCCGGCCCAGCAUAUAUCCUCCUUAGGGGACCCUUAGACUUAACGCUCUGCCUCUGGAGUGUGAUGUAGCCUGGAAAUGGUUCCAGCGGAAAAUAAUAGAAAAACUACUUGCCAGGAGAAGAAUCAAAUGAGAGCGUGUAUUUACUUUGGGCGGUUUUCCCAUUGUCCUGGGUUCUAUUGCCAAGAAGUUAAAAAUAGUGGUGAUAAGCGGGCCGUGAAUCGGUCCCUCUCGGGGUGGCAGGGGUCAACCGAAAGUAGAAUGGUUCCUCCAGGCCCCUGAGAAAUCCACUUUAUCCCCCUGCAACUGUUUCGAGAGCCCCUCUCGGAGUGUCUGGGGGCUGCUCUCCUGCCAUCUGCGUAUUGUGCCUGAGUAUCCGUCCUGUCUUAUCAAUUCCUCAGACUUGUUCUCGGCCCAUGUUAAACCAACUGAUUUUAGUCAGCCUCAUGCUUUAAAUAUGCUAUUUAUAACCACUAAUUUAUGUUUUCGUGAUACUUCAUGUAGCAGCUGGUCUUUGUGUCACCGUAAGAAGGGAAUAGUGAAAUACAUAGUAUUUAUACGGGUGGCUGUAGUGUUUGUCAUUUUGCAUAUGGAUUGCCAUUGUAGGAGGCAUGUAAAAUUGCAAAGGGUAUUUUUUUUUUCCUCUUAAAGAUAAGCCCCCAUAUAAUAAAUAUUCAUCUGCUGUAUCAGAAUACUACACCAUCUUUUUUGUUUCUUCAUCCUUAUUUUCUCAUGGAAAUAUAUUCAGGUGUCUACAAUAUGUAUUGUUCUCAUAAAAUGCUCCUUACUGCAACUGGUCCCCUGAGCAAAACUUAAAAUCUUCACCAACAGCUGUUCCAAAAUAUGCUAAUGUGCAUGCCCUUCAGCCUGGAGGGUCACAUCUGAACAACACGGCCAGGGCACACUUGAGAACUUCAACCCUGGCAAGCUCAUGACUCUGAGCUUUGGGGUGAGGUAUCAAAGAUUGGUGUCCCAAAGAACCUUUGCACUUUUUUUUUUCUUUUUUUUUUUUAUUUUUUAUUUUUUAUUUUUGUGGACGAGGUUCUGGGGCCCCAAGAGAGGGGGGCCCCAGAAGUCGCCCAACCUUUGCACUUUUAAAGGACUCAUUCCUCCCCUCAGCUGCCUGGUUUCCAAAGGUGACAUUUUGUGUCUUGUGUUGUCUUUUGUUGUUUGGCUGAGUUGAAGAGACUGGGAGGACAGAUGACCCAGGCUUUUCUUCUGAAGUUGUGGCCGGUGAAGCUAAGGUCCCCGAUGGGGGCCACCUCCAGGAGCAGUGGAGGAAAGUGAGCAAUGUGUGAUGGGUUUUGUGGAGCAGGCCACCCAUCCCCUCUGCUGGGCAGUGAUAGUCAAGUGGCCAAAAUCAAAAAGUGGAAAGAGUGGGUGGGGACCAGCGAGCAUUCAUACCAUGCCUCUGAGCAAGUUAUUCUCCUCUAAUGAAUUUACUUCCAGAUCCCUCCAGAAGAAUGGUUCUCAAAGUGUGGGCCUGGGUGAGCAGCAUCACGGUCUCCCAGGUUCCCAUUUGAAAUGCUAAUCCAGAUCUACUGAACUCCAGCAACAGGCCAGCAGUCUGACUUAGCAUAGCAGGCCACCCAGUGACUGUGCUCCCCGCUGAGAACCACUGCCCCACAGGCACUUGCCGGUUUCACUGGGCUCUCCUGUUCUAGCAAAAUUGCUAGGAUGGCCUUGCCCACACACUGUGUGCCCUGGGUAGGCGCAGGGCCCUGGGGGACACUGGCAGAGCAAGAACUUGCUUUCUGCCCUGAACACCAAGUGUGCUGGCCGCGAGCGGGGCAGGCCUGGUGUAGUCUUGCCGACCAGAGGGUGUGUGAGCCAGUAAAGUCACCAAGUCCUGGUGCCAGGAAAGAGGACAGGCUUGAAUCAGACGAAAGAGUUCAGAUGCUAUUUUUGCUGGUCACUGUCCGAAUGACCGGAACAAACUGUGUAACCUAAGUCUUACUGUCUUCACCUGUAAAAUAGGGCUGCAAUAUCUACCCAACAGGACUGUUAUGAGGUGUGGAAAGUACUGGUACCUAGUGGGUGCCCAAUAAAAAUUUGUUUUCAAAAUGAAAGGUGAGGAUACGAAACUAUAAAAGGAUGUCUCUGUGUGCUAUGCAGCCCCAAUAUUACUUCCUCUUGCUUCCAUUAAAGUUUGAACCACAUGGCCCUGCUUUGCUUAAAUAAGCACUAGCAACCACUUCUCCUACGACUGCUAAUGCUGGUGUUGGUAUAUUGCUAUAAUAAUGGCUAACACGUUCGGAGCACUUACAGUGUGCCAAGCAGUGUGCUGAAAAAUGUACGUAUAUGCUCUUUGUUACAUUUUCAUAAUGAUUUUAUGACAGAAGGAUGGUAGGCAAAAUAAUGACCCCCUAAAGACACCUGCAUCCCAAUGCCCAGAACCUGCGCAUGUCACCAGGGAAGCAUGGGAAGCCAGGGAAGCAAGCAUGGGAAGGGCCUUUGCGUAGUGACCACGUUAGGACAUUAAUGUAAUCAUGAGGACAUUACAUUAGAUUGGGGGGGUGGCGAUCCUGGAUGAACUGAGUGAGCCCGGUGUGAUCACGGGUCUUUGUAAGAGGGCAGCAGGACAGUCAGAGUGAGAGAAGGAGAUUUGAUGACAAAAGCAGAAGACACAGGGAGACAGAAAGAGAGAUCUGCAGAUGCUGCACUGCUGGCUUUGAAGAUGGAGGAAAGGGCAAAGGGGCGCAGGUGGCCUCCAGAAAAUGGAAAAGGCAGGAAAACAAAUUUUCUUCUAGAGCUUCCAGAAGAAAUACAGGCCUGCCAACUCCUUCAUUUGAAGACCUCUGACCUCUGCAAUGGUAAGAUAAUACAUCUGUGUCGAUUUAAGCCACCAGAUGUGUGAGAAUCUGUUACAGCAGCAACAGGAAACUAGCAUAGGACGUCUUACUACUGUAGCCAUUUGACAGAUGAGGAAACUGGGGAUCAGAGAGGCAAAGCAACUCACCUUGGGUCACACAGCUGGGAAGUAGUGCAGCAGGUAGUCACAUCCACAUCCAACUCUGGUUCCCACACUUAGAACACUUAGUAUGAUAAACACUGUCCCUCCAGGAGUAGGUGUCCCGCACAGUGAGGGCCGUCUUCUGGGCGGUCUUUUCAAUUUUGCCAGCCUGGUAGAGUCAACAGCGAGGUCCAGCUUGGGAUGCUGCCCGAGGAAAACCAUCACCUUGUGGUGAAAUCAGAUGAAUUUUUCUUCCCAGGUGUCCUGCACCAGAAUGCGAGCUGUUUCUCUUUUCUGAAGCAGUUUGUAAGGAAGGCAGUUGCAGAGGGUGUUGUUGAAGGAAAAACAGGCAGUGCCUUCAGCAUCCAAUACAAAUCAAUCAACUGCUGGAAGAAGAGCCAAAAAAGGAAUGCUUUUUUCCUGAAAAUGGCACGAAAAAUCCACUGCCAACAGUUAAGAAACACGAAGGACAAGAAAAAGCUGCUAAGGCUGCAGGAAGUCUCAGAGUGGACCAGCUCCCCGCCGAAGCUGGGCGAGCACUUCCUGGGUUAGCAAAGGGCAGGGACUCGGGCAGGGCAGCGUGGAGGGGCAGAGAGGAAGACGCUGCUCUCCCUCCCACUCAGCAAAGUUACCCUCCCCUGCAGCCUGCAGCAGAAGAGGCAGAGCUGGCCGCCAAGAGAGAAGCUGCAGGCACAGGAUGCCAGGCAGAGAGGCGUCGUCGUCAGGACCCCAAAGAGCCAAGCUCCUGACUGGAUGCUUUUUAGACCAAAGUCAAGCCAGAGCCUGAAAGGAGCCCAGACUGUCUUGGAAGCUAGGUACAGGGCUGCAAGCGUGAAAGACCCAGAAUGCCAUGGUGGAGGCCAAGGGAGGCCCGAUGCUGAAUCUAGUUCAACAGAUGCCGGAUGCUGGCCGGGGGCCGGGGGCUUGGCAUGUGCUGGGGUUACGCGGGGGGCAGCCGGAGGAGCCAGGCCUCCUUAUGCCCUGGCAGGAGGAACACAGCAAUUUCACAGAUUCCUCUACUAAGGUUGACAUUUAAGAGACUUAACUGCUGAGUACCGAGUGAGCAGCGAUUUUUACAGACACUCUUGUUUCAGCUGAUUCCAUGGCCUGAUUAGAUGUCAUUACAACAAGGACUGGAUUUUUGAACAGAAGUAGUAUUGGAGAUACAGCUGAUUCAGUGAUAUUUUUGUGUGUCACUGCAGCCAAUUUGAGACAUCUGGCAACUACAACUUCGUCUUUAUCAUUCUCUGUUGGAAUUCCAGGGAGGGCAGGUCUUCAGAAGAGGUGAGCACAACGGGGCUCAGAGCACUGUUGGUGAGGAGGUUGUGGAGAUGAAGAUGGGAAAACAAAUCUGAUUAUAAAGAUGUAGGUGAAAGAAAAGAGCCUCUGUCACUGUGUUGGCCGUUGGCAGGCAGAGUGGCUGUGGAUGACAGGUAAAGGGUCUGUUCUGCUUCGCAAGUUGGCCUCUGUGUGGGGAGGCGAGCACUGUGCCAGGAGUCCUGAGGUCUGGGUCUGAGCUCUGGCUCCACCUCUAACUAGUUUUGUGACUUUUGCUAAGAUGACCUCUCUGAGGCCAUGUCCUCAUUAGCUGUAAAGCUUGCCUUUCCUAUAAUAUCACGGUGCUAUGAGGUUCGUGCAAAAAGAACUGGGUAAAAAUCAGGUGGUAUAGGUUAUCAGUGGAUGUGCAAUUUCUUUUAAAACAGCAGGGGUCCUCAAAUUUUUUAAACAGGGGGCCAGUUCAUUGUCCGUUCACUGUCAGUUCACUGUCCAGUUCACUCAGACCGUUGGAGAGUGCGGUGCACAUUCCACACAUGCGCACUGUGGGCCCGGGACAAGUUGGCUGCUAAGCAGGACAGGCAGCGGCAGCAAACACACUCAGUGGGCCGGAUAAAUGUCCUUGGUGGGCCGCAGUUUGAAGACCCCUGGAAAGGCUAUGUAAGGUUUACUUCUUAUUCCUCCUCUGCCCAUCCCUUUCCUUCUAUUCUUCCUCCUGUUCCUGCUCCCGCCCGGUGUCUGUUCCUAUUCUAAUUCCUAUUCCUGUCCCUGGGCCCUUCUCUCUAACUGUAUUCAGAAGGCUGACGUGAGAAACUGUUCUGGUGUGCCAAGUGGUCUCUUAUUCAUGUGUGUCUUUGUAGGGCUUGGGCAUGCAAUAGGCAUUACAGUAGACCCUGGUCGGUUUCCCGGGUCCUGAAUACUGUCAGUGUGGUUUUUGUCUCUUCAUCAAGGUCCUCAGUAACCUUUGAAGGAAAGAGCUUUCACAGUGUUUUCAUAUCUUUAAAAAAAAAAGGCUUCAGUCUUUGUGUUCGCUACAUUUCUCGUCCUCAUACUGGAAUGUCCUCCCAUUGGGCUGAUGGGUCUCACCCAGAGGUGUGUGGAAAACUCGCAUCUGAGGCAGCCCCACAUACAUUAAGACCAAAGGUUUCAGGGUCCCACCUUGAGCUAAAGUCAAGGCUCUGCCCCUUAGGUCUGCGUGACCUGGGGCGAGUUACUUCAUCUUUCUGGGCUUCUUGGUUCUUCGUCUGUCAGCUGACAAGUUGUAAACCGCAGACAGUCAUUGUGGGGAUUAAAUGAGGUCUCUGCAAGUGCCUGUAUGAACGGGGUAGAUACUGUUCAUUUUUGUAAGGCAGGCCUGUGAAUUUAACGUUUCCACGUGCCCUGUACAAUUAAGAAUGGGCUGAAGACUUUCAGCUGUCCUGUUCACGGUGGAGUGUCGUUUUCCCCUCUUUCAUCUCAAUGCACACUUUUCCCCCCCGAGUCCUGUCCCUGCGUUUCUGCUCUCAAGAGAUCCACAGAACCCUUAGGUCCUCCAGGGUGGGGGCUGGUGGGUCCACAGGUCUCCACCUCUGUUCUAAUCAAGCCUUUGAUCUAUUUUACAUAUUGGGGUUUAGAAUGAGAUUUUCUUUUGGGUAAAGGUUCUACAGAAAAAAAAAAAGACAAAAGAGUUUUGAAAACCACCCACCACCGGCCUUGGUCUAGGAUAAAGACACUGGAUCAAAAGAUGGAAUUAGAUAAAGGACUAGACUUUGGUGAGGUUGAGCAGCUAUGAAAUCACAGAAAUGCUCUGGAAAUAAAGAGGGGACCUGGA